CGUGUAAUACAAUUGUAUUUUCAGAAUAAUUAACAUAUACAAAUGCUGUUAACCAGUUGAGUAAAUUGGUAUCGGAAAUAAGAAGUGAACAUGUUUAAGUAGAUUUACUUUGAAGCUAUGAAUAUCUGCUGGAUUUACGCUGCUUUACUUCAUAUAUUAAAUUAUCUUGGUUUUGCUUCAUCGGAACUUGUCAUUUGGUAUAAAGCUCCUCUAAUUGGUUCUUAUACCGCAAAUGACGUCCUGGUCAAAACGAAAUCAAGAUCGAAAGUAGAAUGUUCUGCACAGUGUUCUAAUUACCCUGGCUGUUCCUCCUUUGAAUAUGUCAUAUUGACUAAGACAUGCAGUCUAUUGGUAGUUUCGGAACAAAGUUUCCCGCUAGUGAACAACAGUGAUAUUUGUUAUUACCUUCCAACCAAUCCUGCAACUAAUCCUUGUUAUGCAGUUUUUUGUGGUGUUGGUACUUACUC